UACGAAGGGGGCUAGCGUUGCUCGGAAUCACUGGGCGUAAAGCGCACGUAGGCGGAUUGUUAAGUCAGGGGUGAAAUCCUGGAGCUCAACUCCAGAACUGCCUUUGAUACUGGCGAUCUCGAGUCCGGGAGAGGUGAGUGGAACUGCGAGUGUAGAGGUGAAAUUCGUAGAUAUUCGCAAGAACACCAGUGGCGAAGGCGGCUCACUGGCCCGUAACUGACGCUGAGGUGCGAAAGCGUGGGAGCAAACGGG
rnacentral:rRNA from 1 species